CCUGGUGUGUGUCUGUGUGUGUGUGUGGCAUGUCCCUGAUGUGUGUGUGUGGCGUGUUCCUGAUGUGUGUGUGGUGUGCUGUGUUCCCAGCUGUGUGGUGUGUGCCUGGUGUGUGUGAGUGUGUGUGUGGCGUGUCCCUGAUGUGUGUGUGUGUGUGUGUGUGUGGUGUGUCCCUGAUGUGUGUGUGGUGUGCUGUGUUCCCAGCUGUGUGGUGUGUCCCUGAUGUGUGUGUGGUGUGCUGUGUUCCCAGCUGUGUGGUGUGUCCCUGAUGUGUGUCUGUGUGGCGUGUCCCUGAUGUGUGUGUGGUGUGCUGUAUUCCCAGCUGUGUGGUGUGUCCCGGUGUGAGGUCAUGUGGCGUC